rnacentral:rRNA from 1 species
UGGGGAAUAUUGGGCAAUGGGGGGAACCCUGACCCAGCAACGCCGCGUGAGGGAAGAAGGUUUUCGGAUUGUAAACCUCUGUCCUUGGUGAAGAGGAGAAGACGGUAGCCAAGGAGGAAGCCCCGGCUAACUACGUGCCAGCAGCCGCGGUAAUACGUAGGGGGCAAGCGUUGUCCGGAAUGACUGGGCGUAAAGGGCGCGUAGGCGGCCGCACAAGUCCGGAGUGGAAGUCCUGUUUUCAAGGCAGGAAUGGCUCUGGAAACUGUGAGGCUUGAGUGCGGGAGAGGUUAUCGGAAUUCCCGGUGUAGCGGUGAAAUGCGUAGAGAUCGGGAGGAACACCAGUGGCGAAGGCGGGUAACUGGACCGCAACUGACGCUGAGGCGCGAAAGUGUGGGGAGCAAACAG